rnacentral:rRNA from 1 species
UGCCAGCCGCCGCGGUAAUACAUAGGGGUCAAGCGUUGUCCGGACUUAUUGGGCGUAAAGGGCGCGUAGGCUGGGAGAUAAGUCAGAUGUGAAAUCCCGAGGCUCAACCUCGGAACUGCAUUUGAAACUGUUUCUCUAGAGGGUAGGAGGAGAAAACGGAAUUCCACAAGUAGCGGUGAAAUGCGUAGAUAUGUGGAAGAACACCGGUGGCGAAGGCGGUUUUCUAUCUUAUUCCUGACGCUGGUGCGCGAAAGCAAGGGGAUCAAACAGGAUUAGAUA